AUGACGAACGCUGGCGGCGUGCCUAAUACAUGCAAGUAGAACGCUGAAGAGAGGAGCUUGCUCUUCUUGGAUGAGUUGCGAACGGGUGAGUAACGCGUAGGUAACCUGCCUUGUAGCGGGGGAUAACUAUUGGAAACGAUAGCUAAUACCGCAUAACAAUAGGUGACACAUGUCAUUUAUUUGAAAGGGGCAAUUGCUCCACUACAAGAUGGACCUGCGUUGUAUUAGCUAGUAGGUGAGGUAACGGCUCACCUAGGCGACGAUACAUAGCCGACCUGAGAGGGUGAUCGGCCACACUGGGACUGAGACACGGCCCAGACUCCUACGGGAGGCAGCAGUAGGGAAUCUUCGGCAAUGGGGGCAACCCUGACCGAGCAACGCCGCGUGAGUGAAGAAGGUUUUCGGAUCGUAAAGCUCUGUUGUAAGUCAAGAACGAGUGUGAGAGUGGAAAGUUCACACUGUGACGGUAGCUUACCAGAAAGGGACGGCUAACUACGUGCCAGCAGCCGCGGUAAUACGUAGGUCCCGAGCGUUGUCCGGAUUUAUUGGGCGUAAAGCGAGCGCAGGCGGUUUGAUAAGUCUGAAGUUAAAGGCUGUGGCUCAACCGUAGUUCGCUUUGGAAACUGUCAAACUUGAGUGCAGAAGGGGAGAGUGGAAUUCCAUGUGUAGCGGUGAAAUGCGUAGAUAUAUGGAGGAACACCGGUGGCGAAAGCGGCUCUCUGGUCUGUAACUGACGCUGAGGCUCGAAAGCGUGGGGAGCGAACAGGAUUAGAUACCCUGGUAGUCCACGCCGUAAACGAUGAGUGCUAGGUGUUGGAUCCUGUCCGGGAUUCAGUGCCGCAGCUAACGCAUUAAGCACUCCGCCUGGGGAGUACGACCGCAAGGUUGAAACUCAAAGGAAUUGACGGGGGCCCGCACAAGCGGUGGAGCAUGUGGUUUAAUUCGAAGCAACGCGAAGAACCUUACCAGGUCUUGACAUCCCGAUGCUAUUUCUAGAGAUAGAAAGUUACUUCGGUACAUCGGUGACAGGUGGUGCAUGGUUGUCGUCAGCUCGUGUCGUGAGAUGUUGGGUUAAGUCCCGCAACGAGCGCAACCCCUAUUGUUAGUUGCCAUCAUUCAGUUGGGCACUCUAGCGAGACUGCCGGUAAUAAACCGGAGGAAGGUGGGGAUGACGUCAAAUCAUCAUGCCCCUUAUGACCUGGGCUACACACGUGCUACAAUGGUUGGUACAACGAGUUGCGAGUCGGUGACGGCAAGCUAAUCUCUUAAAGCCAAUCUCAGUUCGGAUUGUAGGCUGCAACUCGCCUACAUGAAGUCGGAAUCGCUAGUAAUCGCGGAUCAGCACGCCGCGGUGAAUACGUUCCCGGGCCUUGUACACACCGCCCGUCACACCACGAGAGUUUGUAACACCCGAAGUCGAAGAGGUAACCUUUUGGAGCCAGCCGCCUAAGGUG
rnacentral:rRNA from 1 species